rnacentral:rRNA from 1 species
GAUGAACGCUGGCGGCGUGCUUAACACAUGCAAGUCGAACGAUGAAGCCCAGCUUGCUGGGUGGAUUAGUGGCGAACGGGUGAGUAACACGUGAGUAACCUGCCCUUAACUCUGGGAUAAGCCUGGGAAACUGGGUCUAAUACCGGAUAGGAGCGCCUACCGCCUGGUGGGUGUUGGAAAGAUUUAUCGGUUUUGGAUGGACUCGCGGCCUAUCAGCUUGUUGGUGAGGUAAUGGCUCACCAAGGCGACGACGGGUAGCCGGCCUGAGAGGGUGACCGGCCACACUGGGACUGAGACACGGCCCAGACUCCUACGGGAGGCAGCAGUGGGGAAUAUUGCACAAUGGGCGAAAGCCUGAUGCAGCGACGCCGCGUGAGGGAUGACGGCCUUCGGGUUGUAAACCUCUUUCAGUAGGGAAGAAGCGAAAGUGACGGUACCUGCAGAAGAAGCACCGGCUAACUACGUG